GUGACUGAAGCUCAUAUUUGUAAAUACCUAUAUGCCUAGAAAGGACUCCAAAACAGAUUCUUAAAGUUUAACCAGUAUAAUCCUGAAUAUGGACAAAAAGUAUACACUUGGAACACACACAAAAACAGAUGAGUCCAUGCCAAGCUAAAGAUUAAUGCAGAUGGCAAAAGAGAACUGGAGAAAAAUGAAUUGAUGUUAACACACUCUACAUUAAAUUUGGUUUAAAUCUAAAUAUGUCUUUUGUUGUGAUUGCUUCAAGAGCAAUUAAGGAUCAGGAAAUUUAAAGUGAAGGAUAACCAGAAAGUGGAUCAUUCAACAGAUGAAAAGAAAAUAUGCCUUUGAGGAAAAUUAUGUCAAAUGCAUGAAUUGAAUAUUUAAA